rnacentral:rRNA from 1 species
GCUUACGACCAUCUCACCCUGAAUGCGCCCGAUCUCGUCUGAUCUCGGAAGCUAAGCAUGGUCGAGCCUGAUUAGUACUUGGAUGGGAGACUGCCUGGGAAUACCAGGUGUUGUAGGCU